AGGGAUGUAGUUAAUUAUAAUACUUGAUUUGCAUUCAAGCGGUGCCCCCUCCGGGCCUUCCUUA
rnacentral:tRNA from 1 species